GGAAGUGGUGUGGUGAUCUCCAAAACUAUAGCCAAGAUAGGCAAAGCCUCCUCUUUCCAUGACUGUAACCUUGCAGCUGUCUCAGAGUAGCCCAACUCCAAAGCAGUUUGUGCAGACCAAAAGCCGCAAAAAGUGUAUGUAGUUUCACACUGUGCUUGUAUUUGUGAAAUUGUUAGUGAGCUCCAGCUUCUGCCUUUCCUUAUGAAUACCUGGGUGAGUAUGUCUUUACCAUCCUUUUCUGCUUUCUGAACUAUUGGGCUGUUGCUGCCUUACCUAAUGCUUACUGUUUAGGGAUUUAGGAAAUGUCUUUGUUAUUCCAUGUGGGCUGUCUAGCUGCACAGACUGACUCCAGGGUAGGUUUUACCCUGCCAAAGCAGAGGGCUCUUGUGCUUUAGGAAAUAAUAAAGCAAGCCUUAUUUAUUAAGAGAAUUGUGCUUAAUGAAAACUGCUCCUUCGCCCUUCCUCUGGUUGGUGAGAGCUGGGACAGCACUGCCACAACACUGCCCACAGACAGACAUCUGACCUGAUAGUGGAAGAAGUUUGUUUGCAAAGCCAUUUAUUGUGUGUGAUGCUGUUUCUUUCUACAUGCUGCAUUUAAGAAUUUUUGGAGUAAGAAGGAAUCUAUUUAAAGAGGAUUUUUCUGCAAAGAUUGCCAGUGUAGAAGGAAUUCUGAUGUAGAAGUUUCUUGCCUAUUUUCUUGUCUUCUGUGUCCUACUGUGUUCAAGUAUUUUUGUUGUUACUGUCAUCUGAUUUGGAGAAAGGGUGGGGCUUAUCUGUUUGUGGCUGAGGUGACUGACAGUAUUUACUUUCCUGAGUCCUUGUGGGUGGGGACAGAGCACUCCUUCACCGUGGGAAGAGAAGAUAAGUAGAGAGACAGACGGCAGUGCUGUCUUGGAGAUCUUAGAAAAAAAUGAAAGCCUGAGCAUUCUGUCAGAACUUUUCAGCAAGUUUGUAGCCAGGGACACUGAGUGCUGUGCAGAGGAAGCCAUUUCUGCUGGGUUUGAGCUGGUGUGUGGUUGUCAGGAACCCCCAGGAGGUGACACAGGACCUGUUGUGAGGCCCCAUCUGCUGGUGCCUCCUCUGGCUGCUGCCCGUGGCCGUGCAUCAGCACAGUCCCUGCACAGACUCAGAGAGAGCAGUAUGACUGCACAUGAGAGGAGGCGCUUGUUGACAUGGCCUUGCAGUGCCACCCUUGUCAUUUGGCUGCAGUGGGAGACAAGGGGGGUAGCUCAGCCAUGCUGGAGCUCAUGGCAGAUGGAGACACUUGCACUGCAAAUACCUGCAUCCCCAAAAGUACUGCUGCUCAUCUGGCUCUUGGAUGAAUCCCUACUCUUAGCACUAUUUCUUAAUUAAAUGGAAUAUUUGCAGCUCUGGAUCUGUUGAUGGGUUAUGAUACACAUGCAGUAGCAAAAUAGUAAUUGUGAUGCCAAAAUAUAAACACUGCUAUUAAAUAUCCAGAAAAAGGAACUUUUAGAAAAUAUUUUCUUACUCAGUCUAGCUUGCAUUAAGAGUACUAGGUCAGAGGUGUGGAGAAGAAGACAUUCUCCAUUUGUCAAUGGAAUAAGCCAGUACAAAAUCAAAAUCAUAUAAUUAUGAAAAAUAAUUUAAAGCAGUCUCACCUCAAGGCUUUCUGGUGUAUGCAGCAAUUCAGCAUCCUAAAAUAAAACAAAUCUAAGUUAGAAAAGCUUUAGCAUUUGAAAGUGAUGUCCCUCACAAGAUAUAUCCUAUGCAAUAUAUAAUGUUUGAAAGGAAUUUCAAUAUUAUGACAAAUACCAUCACUUACCUUAUCUUUCACCAUGCUUUCUAUGUCUCUAAUUUUCUUCUGAAUCUGUUUGUAUUUUAAUGUUCUGGGUGAAGAUGCAGUCAGCACCAUAGUGGAGCAGAAGAAAAGCAUGCAGAAAAUAAUCAUCCUCUUCAUCCUGAUGAGUUCUGUUUUAAAAUAUGCCAGGAGCAGAGUUGUGCUGUUCAAGUGUGACACUCCAGUUUGAGCUGUGCUCAGGCUGUAAGGCCAUAAGAACUGCAUCAAGGAAGCCAUGCUGACAGAGAAAGUGAAAUGCAAGGACAAAGGAGCACUUCCUCUAUUGUCUAGGGACAGUGUCACAUCUCAUGGUGCUGGGGCAUCCCUGGCAGAGCAAGAAGUAGUGAGGACAGAGAAGCCACGUGACAUUGCACUGGAGGAUGCAGUCUGCCUCCCUUUGGAGUGACUCCAAGUCCUUGCUUGCACACCAACUCCUCAGCUUGCCCUGAGCACCACCUCUGUGCGUUGCAGACCAGUGGAUCAGCCACCAGAUGUGCUGUACUUCAGCCCCUGCAGCAGAGGGGAGGCUUUGGUGUCACACUGUAUAGCUGGAGGGAAGCCUGAGGUAGAAGCCACAUCUGCAGUUCUCAGGGUGUACAAAUGGAGGUGCUUUCUUCAGCAGCAAAGCCAUUUAAAGAGAUUUCUACUUUAGGUCACUGCUACUCUCUGUCACAGUUUGUCACAAUCUGAGGAGCCUCUGUUACAAGGGCCUUGGGUCAAUGCAGUGAAAUCCCUCUUGCAAAGGCCUUGAGAGCUUGUUUGUUUAGCUUUAUUUUAGUUGCAGUCAUUUCACUGUCAACCCUAUUUUCUUCUUAGCAUACCUGAAAAAUUUGCAAAUAGAAAUGAGUUUCUGGCAGAAGUCUGAAACUCUCCUCCUACUGGAUUUACUAUUGAACACAACUGUGAUCUCCUAUGCAACAAGUGCCUCCUUAGCACAUGAGGCUGAGGGACCCAGUGUCUCCCACUCAGCAGCAUUGUUCCAGGAACAGCAAUUUGGUGCCAGUGCAGACAGCAUUUCAUGAUUCUGACAGAACUAUUUUAUGGAAGAGUGUUUAGGGGAAUCUUAACUCUGCACCCUUCUACAUUUAAGAUUCUUGAAGGUAUGGUGGUAUUUUUCAGGCAGGAUUUAUUGUUACUUUUCAGGCAGUUCUAUCAAUAAAAGUCCUGAUGCAGAAGUAGCUAUACUAGUCUAGAAUUCUCUUAAAUGGGAAUACUCUUCUGUUUCUCGUACAUUAAUUACUCUGGUGAUGAAAUGCACUUUGUUAUGACUUAUAACUUCAUAAAUAGAUCUGCUUUUUAAUUGUUUACAGGAGGCUGAAGAAUGCUGAGGUGACUAGCUCAUGCUAUCUUUAACAGAUAAGCUUGUAACAUUGUAAAAACAGUCUUUUUUUUUCUUCUUUUUUUCCAGAAGUCUCUGUCUUCAUCUCUAAGUAGCUGUAUCUAACGCAGGGAAGUGUGUGCCUGUGCCUGCAGAUUUAUCUGUUAUGUGCACACACAUGCAGAUUUGAGAAGCUAUAUAGCACAAUUGUUUGCAUAAUGAGUUUCAUUUCUCUUCACAGGUCAGCACCUUAAGCAAACCUUGGAAAAACUAUUGUGUGAGCAGUCAGCACACCAAGGCAGCAGCACCCGUUGGGUAGAGCUUGUCUUGGAUAAAAAGCUGAAUGCUGUGGUUUCACUGACUUGUUGUUGAAACCUUGUGGUUUCUGUGUAGGAGGCUGUAUAAGCUGGACACAUUCGACAUCCUUGAUUCUGAGCUGUGAAAUCUGUACAUCUAAUUUAUGAAAAUUAUCUCUGGUUCGAUUUUAUUUUCUUUUUAAUGAAGUCAACAUAUUUUCCUUGCAUUCAGUAGAAACGGUAAUGGAAAUGUUUUAAGAUGCAUUGUGAGCAUUUUUGACCUCAAAAAGUGAGAGAAAUCAAGAUAUUCUUGGUUAUGAUUAAGGCCUAGGAAGGAAAUUUUAAAUUAAAUGCAGAGAGCCAGAUGUGAGAGGAAAGCAUUUUCUCAAGUGUGGAGACAAAUAGAGUAAGUAACUGUGGGAAAUGACAGUUGCAUUAUUAAAAAAUCUUCCACCUGAGAAUUUGAUUUAAAAAAACCACAAAUGACUAAGUAGGAUAAUUUAGAAUAAACUAUGGUACUGGUACCAUUUAAGGCAACCUGCAGUAUCUGUAGUCUGAAAAGGUGGUCUAAAUAAUUAAAUUUAUGAAAUCCAAGACUAAAGAAUCUAAAAGACAUAGAGAGGGAGCUGCAGCAGAAACGGUACCAAUCACAAUAAAACAUAAUGGGAUAGGUGAUCAGUUGAGUGUUUUUCCUUCUGUAGUUGAGUUCCACACUGCAUUCAGUGAAUUGAUUUUCAGGAUGACAGGAUCAUCACUUAACUGAAGCCAGGAGAGCCAUGGAUUCAGCUGUAUGAGCCUUUACUCCUUCCCUCACUCUCCUCCCUUCUACUCUGGCAAGUGCCUCCCAUACUGUAACUCCCCGGAAAGCUGAGCUGCAUCAGUACAGGACACCUGAACCUCUAAUAGUGGCAAAUCCCAUUCCCUUCACUGUCAGCUGCAGUGACUGCCCAAACUUUGACUUUUUACCAAUAACAGUUUUGCCUCUGCCAGGCAAGUUCCCAGAAGCAUGUACAGCAUUCCCUAUAAGUGAAUGUAUGGGAAUGAAUUAAAAAUGAGCAAAACCCUCUGGAUAGAAAACAAAGGAGAAGAAAAAUAACAUUCAAAUUAAUAAAACAAAGCUUCUUGCUGAAAUGUAAGUGAAAUUACUAUUUGUGUGAGAAAAAUUACUCAGUGUGUUUGUGGGAGUGCCAAAAUCUGUCUGAAAACAUUAGUCAAAGCAUUCUUUGUGAAUAAAGACUGAAAGUGUGACCACCCACUUAGCUAUUUCAGAGGGAUGACUGCAAGAUUCAUCUUAAUAAUUUUCAGUAAUUUCCAUAUCAAAACAUCAAUAGCAGACCAUAGAUUUUAAUUCCUCUUUACUGUCUCAUUGGUCCAUCCCAGAGAGUUGUUCCUUUUCAAGGAAAAAAAAAUUUCAAAUGUUACUCUAACAUUGUCACUUUGACUGGAAAAUUAAGGUGUCUUGUCCUGCUUGUGUUUUCUUUUAAUAAAUCUGAGACAAUAAAUAUGAUGACUACAUCUGUAGGUGAAUAUACAAGAAAAUGGUAAAACUGGUCUCUAAAAAUACUCUUCUGGUCAAGAACAUUUUUCUUGCCUGUUACUUAUGAGCUUCUUGCAGAAUGUACAAUUGAUACCUGUUCCUUGAGCAGGACAGUGCUGUUUCUCUGAGUUAACUCCUGGAACACCAAAAGGCAAACAAGGAGGCACUGAAGAUCCUAGCCCAGAACAAAGGUGGCUUUUGAAAAUCACAUUUUCCCCAUUAUCACUGUAACAUAUGCAGAUAGGCAGAUAACCAAGGAUUAGCUUUCUUUUGCAGCAUACAGAUUUCACCCAGAAGCAAUAUCAUAGGAUUCAUCAUUCCUUCCUGUAUAGCUCAGUUUCCAUUCCUGGAUCCUCCUCUUCUGAUUAUCAUAAGGAUUACACAACUACUUUGUUAUUCAACCCAUGGAAAAACCCUGUCAAUGCCUCUUCUACGUGGUAGCUAAGCCUCCCAGGAUAGCUGCAUCUCUUAAAUCUCCCCUUCUGCAGGUUUGAGCCCCUAUGUUGAGGGCACAGCUGAAAAGUCAGAAGAGAUGCUGGUGGAACUCCAAAGGCUGCAAAGUGUUUGUACUUGAUAGUGCUGCACAAAGGGCAAAAACGUGAAGGGAAGUGGAAACAUUUAACCUGAGAACAGGAAAACUCACGAGAAUCUCAGAAACGGCAUGAAGAAAAAAGGAGACAACGAUGUAAUUUCCAAAACAAUAGCCGGAGAUCAAAGGAAGCUGAUGCGCUUUCAAACACUGUUUGUGGUGGAUCUGCAGGGAAAGGUUAAAGAACGUGCUGUGAAAAAAUGCAGAGUCUGGCAGAGAAGUGACAGACCCUGUAGAUCUUUUCUUGUCUCUUUUCCUUGCCAUUGCCCUCUCCUCAACUGAUUUGGCCGCACUGAGAGAAAUAUCACCGUUCCCUUUAAAUUGCCUUUAAAUUGAGCAGAGAUGAAACAGUUCUGCCGUCUGCUAUAAUCAUGUGCCAUGGAUACUCUCCUUACUUAUUGUCUGAGCUGCAUUCUUUUCUCCUUUCUUGCUAGACCUUGUUCAGUGCACAAACUUUCCCUCUCAGCUCUGUUCAUCAUAUCCUGAUUGAUUUUAUAAAGUUUGGCCAAUUUAUGCCAAAGUGAAUAAAUAACUAGAAAUAUAAAAAUGUUAUGUGCUGACGCUUUCAUAUGCUCAUUUCAGUCUUCUAUUAAUUAUAUUUAAUUAUGAAGUUUUAUUGGAAAUAGUUUUAAAAGCUGGGAUAUAAACCUUUCUUCAUUCUUUAAAGCAGAAUGUCCAAUCCACAGUGAGCUUUUUUUUCCCUUGCUCAUCUCAAUAGUUGCAGUGUGUUUUAUGCCACUUCAUAUGGUUUCUGUCAUAUUCAAAAACUCAGAUGCUCUCCCUUGUUUAGGUGAUCAGUCUAAUAUUUAUAGUCAUUCUCUAUGCUUUCUUAGAUUUUUAUGAUUCAGUACACAUGCUCUGAAAAAUUUUUGUUUUUUCACAGGUGGUAAACAGUGCCACAGUUAUAUACAGUGAGUAACCAGUAUUCCAGAAAAUGGUGGACAAAGGAAAAGGACACAAGUAAAACCAGACUUUCUGUAUAAAAAGCCUGAAGUUGGUUCUUGCUCUUCCUACUUGAUGCAGGAGGGUGAUCUGAUAUAACAAAAGAAGGUCAGUAAGCCAGCGUGCCAUAGUAGAAAGACCCAGGCACUUGAAGGCAGUUCAUAAGGAGCAGGGAUAAUGUAGGUUAAAGGUAAAAGAACUUCUACCUUAAUAAUUUUUGUCUGCUUCUAACAGGGCCAGGACAAUUUUCAUUAACUUACCAGUCUAGGGAAUGUGGAUUUGCCAGCUGUUUGGACAGGUAGUAGUUUCCUUUUUCUCUGACAAAAAGAUAAGUAGUGAAACUUUUGGAAUUCAAACGAUAUUUAUAUUUAUGUUGCUCCUUGAUGUUUAAAGAAAACUUCAGUGUUUUUAUUAAGGCUGAGAGGGUGGUUAGGAGAAGCCAGUAUUUUGUACAUUAAAUUGUCUUCUCUGUAUAAAAUUCUAUUUCAUACAAUACAUUGUCUUCUCAUUAGUGUAAAUCAUUCUUCAGUGUUCAUAAUUUAGUAGAAAAUGGCCUAAUAUGGGUUGAUGUGGACUGCUGUGCCUUAUUAGUUCUUUAGACCUACACAGCACUUUAUUGCACCUAGUGAAAUGGGGUAAAAGAGCCAUAUUUAGCUAUUUUUCUGUUCCCAUUUUAUCCAUUGCCUGGAAUGACAGUCCCUUUGGCUGCCUCUUGCCCUGGACUUCUUCCAAGAAAUCUGCAUAUUCCUUACUGAAGGGACUCAAGGGAACUUGCACCUCCAGGGUGUUGAUUUACUUUUCUUCUGCUAUGAGCCAAGAUUUCUUCAAGAGUGACACUGUGCAUGAACAAGAGAAGUUCAGUGCCAGAGGUGGGCAUUCACAUAUCCGUGUGUAAAUCAGAACAGCUGAAUCCACACCUCUGUUGCCUCUCAGUCUAGUACUGAGAAAGCUUCCCAGGACUGAGUCAUUUGAGUGAAGUUCAAUAAAUGUCAGAGAAACUAAUUAAAACAGAACCUCCCUGAGUGUGAGUCAUAGCUGCUCUCUAGUGGACUUGUGAAUAGUGUCAGCAGCUCUAAGUACACUUAUCCCCAGAAAAUAAUAAUAUAGAUAUUCUGAGAGACAGAAGGUAAAAACUCCCUAUACCUGUGAGUUCAGCUGCUUGACUUUUUUGCCACCUCUUCUCUUUUGGUGGCUGGCUUACACCAGAGCUACAGUGAAAAAACAGUGCAGAAUCACCUUUAAAAACUAUCUCCUGUCCAGUGCUGUGGAGAGACAGUAUUUCAUUGUCUCUAUGUUGUGGGUUUGUUUGCAGAGGACACUGUUUCCACUUAGCAUCCUCAGAGUGACAAGUAUCUUAGAGCUAAGGGAAACUGUUUUAUCGGAAAAGAGGGAGGCGUUCAAAGUACAAGGGCUUAUUUCCUGAGGCAGCAUGAGGGAAGAAGGGCAGAGGGAAAAAUAUCAGCUGCACAAAGGACCUUCAUUUUUGGGAACACGAUGUCUUCUUGGGCUUUCUCAGGAGAAAAGUCAAUGAUUUCUAUGGGGCUGAGGUCAAGUAAGUACAUGCACACAGAGGGCCUUGGUAAGGCAGGUCCUGCCCAGCACAGUCUGGGGCUGGAUGUCGUAUGGAGCAGUGCUCCCUACCCCCAGGGACAGCACUUCUAUUCCUGACCUUCCCAGCAGCUGCACUGACUCACUGUUUAGCCUGCUGUCCACUACAUUUCAAGGAAUUCUCCGACAUCCACCAACAUUCCCCAAGCAAUGAUCUUCUGCCUGUUUUGAUUCAUUGCAAGAUUAACUUAGGGACCAAAUAACGUGAUUCCAACCCACUAAAGGUUUAUUGGAGAGACUGAAAAAUUAGUCUUUAAUACUAUGACUGAAAUAAAGUGUGCAACAAAUUGCCUUCUGGAGAGAGCCUUGGUGUUGUGCAAGAAUUGUUCAGCCACAGACAAAGCACUGGUGUGUUUGUGAGUCUAUUUUAGUCACAAAUCCAAACAACAGCCCCAGUGGCACUGAUUUGAAGAAAGGCAACUGCAUCCUCGCUGGAACUGGGACACUCACAGUGAUAAAAUUGGUUUGAUUAUGGAUUCUCUGGUUACAUUAAAUCGCAUUUGUUCUUUUCUGGCAGGGACAAAGUCCACAAUUUUUCGUUGUUAAUUUGUUGCUCAUGAAUAAUUGUUUGCAUCUUCCAUUGGGAAGUUCACUGAGUCCUUCUCCCAUCUACAUACCUGGAAAGAGGGUAUGUGGUUCUGUGCCUGAAGUGAGGAGCUAAGCUAAGAGUCUGGAAGGGCUUCCACCUCUGCAGAGCAGAGUAUUAAACACCUUACUUUACUGAAAUUGAGGAAAGACUUCCUUACCUUAUUAAGUAAAAAAUCUGGAUUUUGUAGUCUGUGUCUCCAAGUAAAUGGCUAUAUUGUCCAUUGUCCCUUCCAUUGUGUACAUUUGAACAUGUGAAUUGUUGAUCUUUUUCAUUACACAAGCACCUAACCUUUAAUAUUGCAGUACAGAUGAUAGCAGUGAAUAGGACAUAAAUCUGACUUUUGCUACCCUUAUGGACCAUCACUUCCAUCCUUUAGUGGGAGUGAGGUAAUGGUGGUUUAAAUGAAAAAGGCUCAAACUUUAAAAGUAGGAAGUGCUUUUUUGUAUGUAUAGGGAACUUAACAGGCACGCCUGAAGGACCACCUUGACCUGUGAAAAUAUGUCAGUCUGAUCUCUGCAGAGGUGAAAAUAUGUACAUGAAAACUAAUAUUGUCUAUUUCCUUUUUGUUCAACUUCCUGUAUGCAGAGGCCAGGUUGUUUAUUCUUGUGAAUGAUGCAAUGGGUUAACGGAUAGUAUGUGGGUUAUCAGUAAGGAAAUCUGAAGGUAUAAGGACCAUAACAGUACCUAAUGUUUCACUUUGAUUAAACUGGUGGAAUUCUGUCUAAAUGGAAAAUUGUGAAGGCGUACAGCCUUCAUUGCAUCAAGAGGAUAUGGUAGGAAGUAACUCAAAAGACAAAUUGUCAUAUUAUUUCUAAAUUAUUAAAUGCCUUGAGGGCUUUCAAUUCGAAACCCAUACCGUCUUCUUACAAAAGAUUUUACAAAAUACGUGCAUAGUCUGUCCUUGCCACGGCUGAGAUUUAGGCAGAUGUGAGGCUCAGGGGAAGGGUUUGGUGGAUUUACUUGGGAGCUAAGAGAAAUCACUAGGAGGUUGCAUUCUCUAACUUAGCUUGCACAAGAGAAUGAGCAUGUUUUCUUUUGGAUACUGCUUCCAUGACAAGCAGCCUUGUGUAUGUCAAACCACUUUAUUUGCUUUAGAAAUCUAAGUAAAUUUAAAAUAUUUCAUAUAAAUU